GAUGAACGCUGGCGGCGUGCCUAAUACAUGCAAGUCGAGCGAACUGAUUAGAAGCUUGCUUCUAUGACGUUAGCGGCGGACGGGUGAGUAACACGUGGGCAACCUGCCUGUAAGACUGGGAUAACUUCGGGAAACCGAAGCUAAUACCGGAUAGGAUCUUCUCCUUCAUGGGAGAUGAUUGAAAGAUGGUUUCGGCUAUCACUUACAGAUGGGCCCGCGGUGCAUUAGCUAGUUGGUGAGGUAACGGCUCACCAAGGCAACGAUGCAUAGCCGACCUGAGAGGGUGAUCGGCCACACUGGGACUGAGACACGGCCCAGACUCCUACGGGAGGCAGCAGUAGGGAAUCUUCCGCAAUGGACGAAAGUCUGACGGAGCAACGCCGCGUGAGUGAUGAAGGCUUUCGGGUCGUAAAACUCUGUUGUUAGGGAAGAACAAGUACAAGAGUAACUGCUUGUACCUUGACGGUACCUAACCAGAAAGCCACGGCUAACUACGUGCCAGCAGCCGCGGUAAUACGUAGGUGGCAAGCGUUAUCCGGAAUUAUUGGGCGUAAAGCGCGCGCAGGCGGUUUCUUAAGUCUGAUGUGAAAGCCCACGGCUCAACCGUGGAGGGUCAUUGGAAACUGGGGAACUUGAGUGCAGAAGAGAAAAGCGGAAUUCCACGUGUAGCGGUGAAAUGCGUAGAGAUGUGGAGGAACACCAGUGGCGAAGGCGGCUUUUUGGUCUGUAACUGACGCUGAGGCGCGAAAGCGUGGGGAGCAAACAGG
rnacentral:rRNA from 2 species